rnacentral:sRNA from 1 species
ACUGGAUGGGGUGGGGUGUGCCUGUAGUCCCAGCUACUUGGAAGGCUGAGGUCGGGGAUCACUUGAGUCUAGGACUUCAGGGUCAGCCUGGAUAACAUAGCAGAUUUCAUCUUAAA